UGUAAGUGUAAGGGCGUUUUGUGUGCAAGAAUAUCUUUUGGUUUCAAGAAUUUAUCAUUGUAUAAUGGAAAAUGUAAAAAGGACAUUUGAUGUAAACCAGAAGGCAAUGGUCAACAAGCUACAUAACAUGCAGUGGCUGAAACAUGCAUCUCAUUCAUUGAAUCCUGGAAAGGUGAAGCGUAUACAAAAGCUUGAUGCGAAUAAUAAAUUAGAAAUUAAAGAUUUAUUAACAGAAAAUAUUGAGACAUUAUACUCAAUUGAAGACUCUCACAAAUAUCAUUCCAUGAAGCCAUACAAAAGAGAUUUAUCUAUUGAUGUAAUGCAAGAUGAUGCAUAUUUACCUAACUCGUUUCCAAAUUCCAAAAUGUUGAUUAAUCGUAAGGAUAAAGGAGAAAAAAAAAAUAUGUUAAUGAUUGCAAAAAGCAUUGCAACAGCAAAAUUGGACGCUCAAUGUUAUUCAAAUAAGAUGAAAAAGAUCAAUCAAAUAAAAAAAUAUCACAAAAUAAUGCUGAAGAUAUUAUGCAGGAUGUAUGUUCAAAUUUUUCCAAUUUACAAGUUGAUCCAGACAUGCAAGAACGAAAUUCAAGAAUACGUUUUGAUGGUAAUAAUAAUUAUUCUAAAUCUACUCAAUCAUGUAUGCCAAAAGUAAAUAAUAAACAAAAGCCAACUAUUAGAAAAGUAACUGAUAAAAAUAUUAAAGCUUCUAUGGAAACAAAAGAUAAAGAUUCACAAAAAACAAUAAAUGCAUUGAGAAAGAAUAUAAAGGAUGAAGAUAGUACAAGUAAUAAUGAUGAAUCUUCCAUUCUUAUUAACAAUUCUAAGAGAUCAAUUUCUAAUUUGUCAAAAACGCCGACUUUUGUUAAUAAGGA